UACGUAGGUUGCAAGCGUUGUCCGGAUUUACUGGGCGUAAAGAGCGCGCAGGCGGUCGUUCAAGUCGCGUGUGAAAGCCCCCGGCUCAACUGGGGAGGGUCACGCGAUACUGAUCGACUCGAAGGCAGGAGAGGGAAGUGGAAUUCCCGGUGUAGUGGUGAAAUGCGUAGAUAUCGGGAGGAACACCAGUGGCGAAGGCGACUUCCUGGCCUGUUCUUGACGCUGAGGCGCGAAAGCUAGGGGAGCAAACGGG
rnacentral:rRNA from 1 species